CCGUGUCCGUGCGCCUCACACAAAGCUCUCUGCUCCUGCGACCGAGCCUAUCUCCUCCUCCUCCUCCUCCUCGCCCCAACUCAACGCGAGCAAACCCUAGCCUAGCCGCCAUGGCUCGGCGCCUCCACCCUGCUGCACCUUCUGUGCGCGCCUCUCAUCCUAGAGAAGAGACUGACUCUGUCGGUCGCUGGCUAACGCCGGACGCCUCUCAUCCUCGGAGGAAACUUGCGGUGACGCGCCAUGGUGCUGGGUCGAUCCGGCCCUCCGUAUCAGGAUAGGCGAUUUGCCGGCCGGCGGACGAGCAAGCAGCGGCCGUAGAGGAGAAAGAGGACCGGAUCUCCCCUCCCCUUUGCCCACUGUUCCUCUCUCUCAUAAGCCUCAGUCAGAUCCGUCCGUCUCUCAUCUGCUGUUUUGCUUUCGAGUCUUCUACUCCAUGUUUCUCAGAUCUGCGAACGAUUCUUUCCUUCCGACGACUUGCAUCUGGGUUGCUGUUAUUCUUCUUCUUUUCUCUCUCUUGUUCUUUCCUCUCGCUAGAGAGAAUAGAAAGAAACGCGCCGGCCGUGCUUCAGAUCAGACCCCUCACAAGUUUUCUCCGCGGUGCCUCGCAAGUUAAAAUAUCGCCAGCUGAUGAUUUACAUCUGCUUUUUGCGAAUGCGUUUUUCUUCUUCUUCUUCCUUUGCCCUCUGUUUUGUUCUGUUCUUCUCAUGUCACAGACAGAUCCGUCUCUCGUCUCUAGUUUUUGAGUGUUUGAAAUUCACUUUUUCCCUUUGUUUCUUCACCUUUCAGACCCGCAGUCCUUUUUUUUUACCUCUCUUUGGGGCUAUAUAUACAGGCAGGUACCCUGCGUUCGUCAACACGAUGGACGGGCAACACCUUUCUCGACAUCAAGGGCGGAAUGGAUGGCAAAGACGGCAUUGAAUAAGAGGAAGAGGAGGCAACCGUCAUUCCCUCGUGCCUAAUAUCUUGCUAAGUAACCUUUCCUUUUACUUUGUUAUUAUUGUAAUUGGUGAAUUUCUUGGUCACAUAAUGCUUUCCGGUCUAUGAAUUUCUUGAUAGCUUCACAUCAGAACUCUGAAAAUAUACAUCCAUCAUUUGCAUCUAAAACCAAUUUCAUCCAAAGAUAGCACAUCGAUUAUAUCAUCUCCAACAAAAUCCAGUUUCCAGUAUAAACUACUCUCUCUGUCCGGGUUUAUUUGGCCCCUCGUAUUUUGGGUCAAACUUUGACUAACAAAAAUACGAUUUAUGUGCUACACAAAGUAUAUCAUUGGAUUUCCAGCCGUAUAACUUUGUGACAUAGUUUUAUUUUAUUAGUUAUAAAUUUAUAGUCAAAGCUUGGCCCUAAAUACUAGGUGGCAAAUAAACCCAGACCGAGUGAUUAAUUGCUAGAACACGCACAAAUAGUGCACCAAUAAGGCCUCCUUUGGUUUACAUGAAGUUUGCAGGAUAGGGUUCCUACAGCAAAUAUCCCCUAAGAGCCCUUUGGUCUGUAGGAAUGAAUUGCUAUUCCAAUGCAAAAUUGGUUCCUAUUCUUCAUAUUUCAAAGGAAUAAAAAAAAAUUAUCUCCGACCUUGGGCCUCUUUGAUUCACAUGAUUUUCAAAGCACUGGGAUAGGUAAUAUGUAGGAACAGGGUGGCAUGCCACCUUGAAUACUACAGGAUCUGUCAGGAUUUUUGAUUGUGCAUAGGAAGAACGUAUGAUUCUUUCAAAGAGGUUGGAGUAGAUGAAUUUUUUUCCAUGAAAUUUAGUGCGAAUGAAUCCUAAAAAAAAGAAAAAUCACAUGGUUUGCAAUUCAGUGAAUCAAAUAAACCGCAUAGGGAAAAUUCCUAAGGAUUUGAAUCACAGAUUGCGCAUUUCCAAUACUUUCCAAGCACAAUCCAAUCCUUAACAUUUGCCUGAAAAUAAGAUUGCUGCCAAACCAUCACAGGUAGCACAUUUCCAAUGAUUUCCAAGCACCAUCCAAUCAAUAACAUUUGCAUGAAAACCAUAUUACACUCCCAAACCAUCACAGAUAGCACAUUUCCAAUAGUUCCCAAGCAUGCUACGGACUUUUGCAAAUAUAGAGCAGUUAAAAGUUCACAGACAUGACCCCAACCAUUAGGCCUCGCUUGGUUUAAACGAAUUUUGUAGCGCAUUUUCUAGACCGAAGGCUUGAAUAGUGGCACCAUAGGAAAAUUUCCUAUUCCUAUGUGUUUCCACUUUACUUUGAACCAAAAGAGUACUAGGUUUCUGUAGGUUUGUCAGAUCAGCGACAAACAGGAUAAAAGCAUUUAUGACUGCUUAGCAUGACACACUUAUUAUCAUCAGGAAUGAAAAUAACAAAAAAGUUCAAAAAGCAUGCAGGGAUUUCUCAUAAGAAUUAGCACAAAUGCCUAGAGGGAUCAACAUAGACUCUCCCAAGCUCACAGGCAGAGCUCGGGACCAUGCAUGCAUUCUGCAAAUCUUUAUCCCCCCAACGAUGCUAUGUGCUUGAUGUCUUGUACAAGGUGGGUUAUGUGCUGCUGUGUUGUUUCUGUCCAGUGUGAAAAAGUGGAAUGCCAUAAAUAAAAUAGAAGAAUGGAAGUUGAUCCCCAGGAAAUAAAAGAAUAGGAAAACAAGCAAGUUGGCAGUAUUAUUGUAUUUCCAAGGCUGUAGCUGUACUGAUUUCUGAAUGUUAAAUUACUCUAUCAGUCUUCGUUACCAUCUAUCUAUUAUAUACCUAUGACAGAAGACAUGAUGACGUAGCCAGAAGACUAGAGUAUCCGUGUUACUAAUAGCAUCUCAAUCCUUAAGGGAUGCAAUCUCUGUCCUUCCUGAGUGUGCAGGCCAUGGUGGCGGCUACUGGCGGAGCCGAUGUGCCGCUAAGGUAUCUCCGGCCAUAGGCUGUAGCGGAAGCGGUCACCAGUGACGGUGAGGCUCAGAUACCCAUCAUCGACUACCCCGUGGUGCAUGCCUCGACAGUCCCUGGUAGGACUGGGGCUUGUUCCAGGUAAUGAAGGCCAGCAUCCAAGAAUUCUUUCAGCUACCCGGAGCACCCAAGAAUGAAGCAAAGGAGGCUGACUGUGAUGUACAUAUUCCAUAAAUAAAAGCCAGUGAAACUGGUAUCGUAUCACAGUUAAUUAACCACAGCGACAUGGUGGAGGUAAUGAAGGCUAGCAUCCAAGAAUUCUUUGGGCUACCCAUAGCACCCAAGAAUGACCCAAAGGAGGCCUACUGCCAUGCCAUGUAUAUGGAGUAUUCCAUAAAUAAAAGCAAGGAAAACUGGCAUGGUAUCACACACAUGUUGGAUUAGGCUAGUUGGUGAGUUCCAUAAUAUGAUAGCGCUAACUAUGUCAAAAUCAGCAGCCUUGACAGCCUACUUAUGGAAAAAUCUGUGCAUCUUAUCCCCAAAAUUCACCCACUAGCCUAAACAUAGCGUUGAAAAGUAACAGAAAAGACAGGGUAGGAAAUGUUGCAAAUCCAUGCCUUUUUAGACUAAUAAUAAGCAAGUAGCAGUAGUAGUAGGAUCUCAGUGUGAAUAGAAUACCACCAACCAGAUACACAUAGCCAUCAUCAGGUCUGAGAUGACACAUGACAUGACAUGGCGCAGAGCAUAUGUAGUCUGUCGCAUCGAAUUAUUAUUACAGAAAUUUCUUGUCACGGGUGGAAUCCAUCCCAUGAGAGCAGAGCACGGAGUAAACAGGAGUGCAUCAGA